rnacentral:lncRNA from 1 species
AUGAUGGGAGGGAUUGGGGGGAACUGGGAGCGAACUGGGGGGGACUGGGAGAGACUGGGAGGGAGCUGGGGGGAACUGGGAGUGUGCUGGGGGGAACUGGGAGGGCACUGGGAAGCACUGGGAGGGUGCUGGGGGGGACUGGGAGCAUGCUGGGGGGGAGUUGGGAGGCACUGGGAGGGAGCUCGGGGGCACUGGGAGGCACUGGGAGGACGUCCCCAUGUCCCCAUGUCCCCAAUGUCCCCAAUGUCCCCAGGCACAGGGGGUGUCCCUGCAGGGGCUGUACUCGGGGUGAUGUCCCCAUGUCCCCACGAUGUCCCCGUGUCCCCACGAUGUCCCCAUGUCCCCAAUGUCCCCAAUGUCCCCACAAUGUCCCCAUGUCCCCAGGCGCGGGGGGUGUCCCUGCAGGGGCUGUACUCUGCCCGCGGGGACGUCGCCCGAGCGGCCGCGCGGCUGCGCCAGGAGCUGGAGGGCUCCGAGGGCUCCAACGAGCGCCUCAACCGCGGCUUCAACGCGCGCAUCAUGGCCGUGCGUGGCCCCACCCGCCCCGGCCCUAUUAACCCUGUCCCUGUCCCCAUUGACCCCAUCCCUGUCCCCAUAGACCCUGUCCCCAUUCCCAUUAACCCCAUCCCCAUUGACCCCAUCCGCCCCGUCCCCAUUGACCCCGUCCCCGUCCCCAUUGACCCCGUCCCCGUCCCCAUUGAUCCCAUCCCUGUCCCUAUUAACCCUGUCACCGUCCCCAUUGACCCUGACCCCAUCCCUGUCCCCAUUGACCCCGUCCCCAUCCCAAUCCCUGUCCCUGACCCCAUUGCCCCCACCCCGUCCCCAUUGACCCCGUCCCCAUCCCCAUUAACCUUGUCCCCAUCCCCAUUGACCCUGACCCCGUCCCUGUCCCUGUCCCCAUCCCCAUCCCUGUCCCCAUUGACCCCAUCCCUGACCCCACUGACAGUGUCCCCACCCCCAUCCCCAUUAACCCUGUCCCCAUUGACCCCAUCCCCAUUGACCCUGUCCCUGUCCCUAUACCCAUCCCCAUUGCCCCCAUCCCUAUCCCCAUUGACCCCAUUCCUGUCCCCAUUGACCCCGUCCCUGACCCCAUUGACCCCAUCCCCAUCCCAAUCCCUGUCCCUGACC